AUGAGUUGCGGGCCAGCGAUGGGGAAAGUUAAUAGCCAGGGCUUAGAAGUCAGCCCGCUCAAGUCCAAAUUACAGGAAAAGACAGAACAAUCUCAACAGCUGCAAGAUCAAAUUCUCAAGCAGCAGGAGGCUCUAAGUAGGGCAAGCCAAACUCUCAAAGACACCAGGAAAGCAGCUGGCAAUAAGUGGCAUCAGCAGGUGGAGAGACAGACAUGCUGGAACCACAGGCGGAGGGUGAACCAGCUGCAGGGGGAAGCUAUGAAGUCUGCGAGAUGGUGUUUUUCUGUAAUGUGCUGUUCUAAAGGUUCAAGUCUGAAUUUUAAGGGCAGAAAUCUCCAGCCCGAAGUCUUGCUAUGUCCAGAAAGUCAUCCGUAUGGAACACCCUGAAGAGGCAAUGGACCAGCUAACAGAAGAGCUCCAAGCAGCCCUGGACAAUCUGAAGAGCCAGACGGGGAAAAUACGCCGGUGCGAGGAAGAAAUUGAGAGAUUAAGAGAGAAAAUGGACAGCCACCAAAAAUGGUUUGUAGUCAAACUGGCAUCAGUGCUCCUAAGAAUAAAAAAAUGCACUACAAAAAUACAUUUCUUGAUCAGAAUUGUUUUCCUGUUUUCAGGAAAAUUUUGAAGAAUAGAUAAGCAGAGUGUAUAAGAUACUAAAGUAAUAAUGCAUUCGAAAAUGAAAAUGCUGUUAUGCUUUUGCAUCCAUUUUAAAUUUUAAAAGUUUUAAUCCUAAUUAAUUGUUAAUUGAAAAAAUUGUUAUAUCAUUCUCACUUAAAAGUCAUGGUUUUCUUUUUCAUGUUAUAGCAAUAGCUUUGUUUAUGGUGAAAUUAGGUUAUAUUUAAUAUAUUGGCCAACAUUAAGUAACAUUUUGGCUUGUGUCUAAAGAGGAUAUGUUGCUUCAGCAAAUUAAUUUAAUGUAAUUUUUAUUUUAUUAAUUUUUUUGGAGGGGGGUGGGAGGUAUUUUUGGUUGACAUUAAAUCAAAGUCUGGACCCAACCUUGUUUUUCACUGUAAGUGCAGUGUAAGAUUUAUGAAUCAUUCUUUUUUUCUUUUUUCUUUUUUUGCCACAUUUAUAAUGUAACUUUUUUUAAAGCAUACAUUUGACAAAAUGUCCUGAAAUGGAAAAAUAUAUAUAUCAAGAUAUCUUCUCUGUAAACAAGUUUAUUAUUACUUGAUAUUAUUAUGCUAAUUACUAAGUGAAUUAAUCUUGAUUCAAGGAUGUUUUACUAGUAAAAUCCUGACUAACAAAAUGUUUUUUGCAGUGUUUUCUGUGAC
rnacentral:lncRNA from 1 species